GAUGAGCACAAUAAGCUCUCACAAGCUUGUAUGAGCCUGCACGCCCCUGCUGGUGAAGGUGAGGAUUUCCACGUGGAAACAUUCUGAUGAAAUUCGCAUAUGCAGAGCUCAAGUUCAGGAGUAGAAUUUGGUGCUAGUGUCAGAAGAAGCAACUGAAUGAGACCUCUGAGAGCCCUCAGGAGCAAACAAGCAAAAGUACCCACUGAGCCCCUGGGACCCACUGCCUUCUUGCUGCCACUAGUGGUUGUAGUCCUUGUUUCUGAUCUGCGCCAACCAGAUUCAAACAUAGAACCUCUCUGAGUUCCACCAAAGGAAUCCAUUCACGCAAAAGCUUUUCGCACUAUCUGGAUUUCACCGGGAAUUUGGCAAGGGACAGGUAGGAGGGGCUUUACAUUGUGUAUCCCAAUGCAAGCUAUUUAAAAUGCAUGUAAUCUGAUUUCUGUUGUCUCUGACCACACUACCAUAAACAUAACAGAUAGAGCUGUGCUCUCUCCCUUUCUCUCCCUUACCUCUUUCUCCUCUAUACCUCCUUCUCUUUCCCUUCCACAGUACCUAGUUUUGUCAGGUCAUCUCUUCCUUAUUGUGCAGAGCAAUUCAAUCCUGAAGGAGUUUCUCCUUCCAAAAUUCAUAUUCAGUGCUCAGCAAAACAAAAGCUACCAACUUGACCUCCCCACUCAGUUAACAUGACCAACUUUCUUUAAGGGCACUUAAUAUAUAACGUUUUACAACAUAAGCAUAUUCUGAUAAGCCCGUCAGCUAUCCUGUCCUCCUCAAAAGAGAAGCUGAUGAAUUAAUUUUUUCUGCUUCUUGUUGUAAUUGUGAUAAGUGCUAGAACUGAGAAAAUAGAGUGUAGCGAGAAAAUAGUGUAUGAGGGGUAUCUGACUCCCAUUUCAGAAUAAUGAAAGGCAGAAGCAAUAAUCCUCACUUAAAAAUUUGAUGGGUAGA